rnacentral:snRNA from 1 species
UUGCAUGUGGUUCUCUGCAAAGCGUACAAGUCUUUCGCCUUUUACUAAAGACUUCCGUGCAGAGGAGCAGCGCUUUGUCAGUUGCAUUUUUUUGCCAGGCUCUGCCACUGGUAAAGCCU